rnacentral:tRNA from 1 species
GCCUUCAUAACUCAGUUGGUAGAGUGCCUCGCUGUUAACGAGGAUGUCCCAGGUUCGAGCCCUGGUGGAGGCG